CGAAGUCAGAUGCUUAACUGACUAAGCCACCCAGGCGCCCCAGUUUAUUUUUAAUAUUUAAAAAAAAAACGAUAAUAGCAAGUAUUACACUGAUGCACUAAUGGAGUUUGGUUUUCUUUCUCUUCAAGUGACCUUUUCCCUGGAGUGUUGGUCUAUUCUUACUGAAAGGUUAUAAAAGAUUAUAUUCUUAUUUUCUAUAAAAUCUGCCUAAAAAGCAAAGAUUCUGUGUCUGACUAGGAUCACUUCUAUGGUCUGUAUUGAUUUUUUUAUGUUCUUGAUUAUUUAAGAAAGCAAAAAUUUUCCAUGGUGAAAAAACUAAAAUUCUUUAUAAUCAUAUUACCUACUGGGUUUACUUUUAAAAUAUUUGAUUGUCACUUAAUUUAAUAGGUAGCUAAGUAUUGUUUCUCAAUCAUACAGGGUUCUUUUUUUUUUACUUUAAUUUUUUAAAUUUUAUUAUGAGAAGACCCAUGAUCCUAUCUUCAUCAAGCUCAAAUAAGCUGACAAUCUUGAUAUUUUGCCUUUACAAAAUUGAUUCUAACUAAUGUCUUUUGGACCUAAAACUGUCUCUGAUAGUUUCCAGAAGCUUCCAGAAUCACAAAGGAUUUGUGCUUCCACCUUAUAUAGAGAGAGAUGCCAGAAAUAAUUAGGCUUAUUUGAAACAACCAAUUUUCCUUGCCAGAUGCAUUAUUCUUGAACAACACUCAUCAGAUCUUUUACUUUUGAAAAUUGUCAGUAAUAAGCACAGCUGUUUUACAUCUUUUGUCAUCUAUGGGCAGUCUUUUGUUUUAUUCUGAUGCUUCCCUGAAAGCACUUGCAAUCAGCUACAGGCCAGAGGGCUUUGUCUUCAACAAAGAAAGACUUGCUUAGAGCUAAAUGGAAAACGACUAUGCCAGAAGAUACUUCUGAGUCCAGGAUUCUGGUGAUAGCCUAUCACUUAAACAACUUUGGGACCAUACCAGUGGACUAAGUCAGGAUUUCCAGAACUUUAGUCAAGAAGCAAGUGGGUUCACAAGACUGCUAACCCAAGAAUAAGCAGAACAAGAAUCAAUUCAUGUCAGUGAAGUGAUAAAGGAUGACUAUGGGUUUUGUUCGGAAUAUUGUUGAUGUUUUAAUGUUUUAUUUUCUGGAUAUAUAAGUAAUCCUUUAAUCUUUUCUCUUUAUGUAUAAUUUAUAACAAUUCAGUAGACUAAACUUCUAUAAACUGAAAGAAAUACUUGUAAAUGUUAUCUUUUUCUCCCUCAUUGAUACCUCCAGGAUUUGGAAGUUUUCAUUCAGUAUUUUUUUUCAUGGCCAAUAUACUUAUUUGCAUAAGUUCUGCAGAAGUCUGAUCUCCUUGUUAGCAGGUAUUGGAAAUAUUGGUUUUGCCACCAACGACUUGCUUGAAAUAUCAUAGUUAAGAACCAUUCUCAUUUAAUUAGAUAUGACCAGUUACUUAGGAACUGAAGUUGACACUAUGGAGUCAGUACUUAUAAAGCCCCCCUUGGAAAAACUAGACUGGUACCUGACUCACAAAAUUUCCUGAGUUAUGGAUGAAUAAGGAAGGCCAUUUCCUCAAAAGCUCAGGAAUCUUAGGACAUGUGGGGGACUUGAAGAGAGAGGUAUAUACCCCAAUUUAUAGGUACCAAUGGUGAAAUCUGAUGAUUAAGUUCAUGACUUGACUUCAUAAUCUCAAAAGGCAUUUAAAAUUCCAAUUUGAAAUUCCUUUAUGAACAUUUCCAGCAAAACCAGCUUAAGACGGUCUAUAUGCUGCACCUAUGUAAAUAGUGAAGCCAAACAAAAUGAAGCUAGUCUCAUUUUGUGACCAAGAAUAAUCUUUCUUUGACAUUAUUUUUGAUCAAAGGAGGGGAAGCUAUGAAGAGAAAUUUUGUAUUUCAACAGAAAGUUUUCAUUAACAGCAUUAUUUAUAGCACAAUCUUUCAAGUUGUCAAAUUCUAACUGUUCACUCUGAGUAUUUUUUGCAACCUUUUUGAAAUUAUGGUAACUAAUGGAUGGAUGUGUACAUUCUGUCAUCUUGUCCAAUAAAAAUUUAUGCCACUUUCCCCACCAUGGGAAAACAAAUUUUGGCAUCUAUGUGUAAAUUAGACUCCAUGCACAUUGCUCAAAUUGUUAAUCCUUACCAAAUUUUCAAUUCUUCCCAUUUCCUUCAAUAGCUGAUCACAGUCCUCCAAGAUAACGUCUAAUUUCUUUUCCUCCUGCUUGACCCUAUGUCAUGGAGGACAAAGACUAAAACAUGACUCAGAUCCUUCUUGAGACUGUAGAUUAUCUUGAAGCUUGCCCUUUUCCCCAGGAUCUGAAGAGUCCCUAUGAACUGAUGCCUGAGAAUGGAUUAUAAACUUCACUCUCACAGCAGGCCUUACAUUGGCUGGAUGUCCCUUUGAGCAAGCAACUGGCUUAGCCACAAAGGAAGUCCAGUAAAAUGCUUGGGGCUUGCAAGCCCUCAUGUAAGAGGUAGCCAACAUUGUGGACAUGGUCAGUGAGAACAUGGACUUUUAGCUCAAGAGAGUCAAGAAACUCUGUGAUAUAUAUCGCAUAAAUGAAAGAUUUUUCUCCACUGACUUCUUGGAAUCCGCUGUACCAGUUACUCUCAGGGUUAAACUCCUAGCUCUUACUUUGAAACAACCUUUUAUGAUAAUAUUUCUCCUUUCCAUUGUGGACAUCCUUCUUUUAAGAUGCCUGAUCAGCAGGACUCUAAAACAACUGACCUUUGCCACAACCUCUAAACAGCUAAUUCAACUGAUUUGCAGGCACAAUGCCAACAGCCAGAGACUAUUUGUUAGACCCUACUUCCCGCAAUCAGAAGGUUUCUGAUUACUUCUGAGUUGUUUGGAAAGGGAGUGCUGACAAGGUUGAAAUUUGCCCAGCUCUGAGCUUCCAGAAAAUAAUUACAGUUAAGAAAUCCUCCCAAUACUUUUAUGUUCUGAGAGAAAAGUCAACCCUAACCAGCUAACCACAAAAGACUAGCAGCAGGUUCUGGCAUAUUUCAAGAUAAAACCCACCUCCACCUUUCAUCAAUGAUUCAGAUUAGAGCAGAUUCCACCUUCUCAUGACCCCCAUAAGACAGGAAUAACUCUUUGUUUAUGAGCUCUAUAAAUCCCUGAUGUCUUUCCUUUCCUUUCCUUUCCUUUCCUUUCCUUUCCUUUCCUUCUUCCCUUUCCUUUCCUUUCCCUUCCUUUUUUUUUCCCCAGGAUGCUUCCCAUAAAUGAACCUUAUUCCUAUCACAAUAGCCUGAAUAAAAUUCUCUUCUUAAUUGUCUGAUACAUUUUGUUUUAGAUACCCAUCUUAUUUUAAGUUUUGUCUUUGUUUCUGAGUGUUGGAAAGUACACUUUCUUUUUAUCAAGUUCAGGCAGAUAUUAAAAAUGUUAUAAAUUUAUAUAACAUUUUUAUACGCUUUUAGCGGGAAAGAGGCCCUCAAUAACCCAGUCUUUCUUGUGAUAGGAAACUGAUGCCACCUCUAUUCUCUUUUCAGUCUUUUGUUGGUGGAUAUAUUUUGUGCCCAGUUCCAUUAGAGCUUUGCCUUUUGAUUCACAAAAACUUAUCUUUCCCUUUAAAAUAUAAAGAACCAAGCUUUGGCUUUCAUAAUUAUUGCCUCUGAAGUAGGCAUCAAGAACCUCUCUUGGAACUCAAAAUCUGAGUACCAACUCUCUUUGCAUUUCUGUUACAAUUAUAUCAAUUUCCCCCCAAAGUAAUGGAUGCCUCUGGUGAAUAAAGGGAAGAUUUUGUAUGAGGGAAUGUAAAGGAAAAACACCUUGAUUCAUUUCAAGAAGUUAUCUCAAUAUAGUUUCAAUCAUUCAUACCUACCAUCCAGCAGAAUAUGCUCCCUAAAAAUGUGGUAUUUGGCUUCCCAUUGUGUGCGUGUAGCCACAGAUCAGGGCUCCCUUUCAUACACACUUUUCCACAAGUCCUGAAUCUCUUGAACUGACCCACACUUCAGGCUGUGUCUCCUAGGAGUUGGUUAACUUUGCUAUUUCUGUACUCUUUGCCUUGUUUGAUUCACUGUGUUGCCCCUGUGUUACAAUUUUGAUUUCUCUCUUAUGUUAUCCGUCUUUAGACAAUACAAAUAAGAUCAGUCUUUGUUGGCCCACCCCUAGCACAAACAAAUCCAAAUAUUUCCACCGAAUUCACCUAAUAGUAUACCUGGAUUAAAUAAACAAAAAUGUUUAAUAGAUCCUUUCCAGGGAAAAGAUUUUGAAUGGCAGAAGGGAAGUGAGAUCUAAGGUUAAGAAAGUUGUCUAAAUGCACAUGUGUCCAGUCUCUCCAGCUCUGGAAACUUUAUAUGUGUAUGUAUAUGUCUGUGUAUACACACAUAUACAAAAUUUUCCAGGCCAAGUAG